rnacentral:rRNA from 1 species
GAUCCUACGGGAGGCAGCAGUGGGGAAUAUUGGACAAUGGGGGGAACCCUGAUCCAGCGACGCCGCGUGAGUGAAGAAGUAUUUCGGUAUGUAAAGCUCUAUCAGCAGGGAAGGACGGUCACUGUGCUAAUCAGCAGUGAAUUGACGGUACCUGCAAAGGAAGCACCGGCUAACUCCGUGCCAGCAGCCGCGGUAAUACGGAGGGUGCGAGCGUUAAUCGGAGUUACUGGGCGUAAAGCGCUCGUAGGCGGUAUGUCAAGUCAAGGGUGAAAUCCCCGCGCUCAACGUGGGAACUGCCUUUGAAA